rnacentral:SRP_RNA from 1 species
GAAGAGGGAUCCGGCGGUGGGAGACCGUGAACCUGGUCAGGUGGGAAACCAAGCAGCCAUAAACGUAACCUUUCAGGUGCUCGGGUCUCUCUUCGAC